UACGUAGGGGGCGAGCGUUGUCCGAAGUUACUGGGCGUAAAGCGCGCGUAGGCGGCCCGGUAAGUCCGUUGUGAAAGUCAAAGGCUCAACCUUUGAACGCCGAUGGAUACUGCCGGGCUAGAGUCCGGAAGAGGCGAGUGGAAUUCCUGGUGUAGCGGUGGAAUGCGCAGAUAUCAGGAGGAACACCAAUAGCGAAGGCAGCUCGCUGGGACGGUACUGACGCUGAGGCGCGAAAGCGUGGGGAGCGAACAGG
rnacentral:rRNA from 1 species